CCCUUAGAUGUUCUGGGCCGCACGCACGCUACACUGAUGCAUUCAACGAGUUCUUCCUGGUCCGAGAGGAAUGGGUAACCUUUUGAAAGUGCAUCGUGCUAGGGAUAGACUAUUGCAAUUAUUGGUCUUCAACGAGGAAUUCCUAGUAGACGUAGUUCAUCAGACUGCAUCGAUUACGUCCCUGCCCUUUGUACACACCGCCCGUCGCUCCUACCGAUUGGAUGAUCCGGUGAGCUAUUCGGACCUGUGCAUUUUCCAUUGGAACUUGCGUGGGAAAGUCUCGCGAACCUUAUCAUCUAGAGGAAGGAGAAGUCGUAACA
rnacentral:rRNA from 1 species